rnacentral:lncRNA from 1 species
GAGGGGCUCCGUGUGCCAAAAAUAGUCCGUGUGAAAAGCCGCGCACAAAAAUAACUUCCCGAAGGCCGGGCCGCCAAGUUCGUCCAGCGGAAAAAGUCCACAAAAACGGGUGGGCUAUAGCCUUGGGGGGUGGGGCUGGCCAACUUCGUCCGCCGGACUCGGAAUGCCGCGACACUUUGCGAGGGGCCUCCGUGUGCCAAAAAUAGGCCGCGAACAAAGGUGCGCCCAAAAAUAACCGCCCGAAGGCGGGGGCGCCAAGUUCGUCGAGCGGAAAAAGGCCACAAAAACGGGUGGGCUAUAGCCCUGGGGGGUGGGGCUGGCCAACAUCGUCCGCCGGACUCGGAAUGCCGCGAGACUUUGCGA